UGGGGAAUUUUGCACAAUGGGGGAAACCCUGAUGCAGCGACGCCGCGUGAUUUAGAAGGCCUUCGGGUUGUAAAAAUCUUUUGUAUGGGAAGAAAAUGACAGUACCAUAGGAAUAAGGACUGGCUAAUUACGUGCCAGCAGCCGCGGUAAUACGUAAGGUCCGAGCGUUGUCCGGAAUCAUUGGGCGUAAAGGGUACGUAGGCGGGUAAGCAAGUUAGAAGUGAAAUCCUGUAGCUCAACUACAGUAAGCUUUUAAAACUGCUCAUCUUGAGAUAUGGAAGGGAAAGUGGAAUUCCUAGUGUAGCGGUGAAAUGCGCAGAUAUUAGGAGGAAUACCGGUGGCGAAGGCGACUUUCUGGCCAUAAUCUGACGCUGAGGUACGAAAGCGUGGGUAGCAAACAGG
rnacentral:rRNA from 1 species